GCCCAGCUCUGUCUGUUUGGCUCUUCUAAGAACGGCUUUGGCUUUCGUGACAGUGACCUGGACAUCUGUAUGACACUGGAGGGUCACGACACCGCUGAGAAGCUGAACUGUAAGGAGAUCAUUGAGGGUUUAGCCAAGGUGCUGAAGAAACACACAGGUUUAAGGAAUAUCUUGCCUAUCACAACUGCUAAAGUGCCUAUAGUGAAGUUUGAACACAGGCAGAGCGGACUGGAGGGAGACAUCAGCCUCUACAACACACUGGUUGAGACACACUC